GUUCAUCUUCAGGGCAGGGUGUAAUUCCCGACCGGCGGUAAAGCCCGCGACCUAUCUUUAAGAUAGUUGAUUCGGUGAGAUUCCGAAGCCGACAGUAUAGUCUGGUAUGCAGAAGAUUGGG
rnacentral:ncRNA from 2 species